GACUCAACUCACUCACACUCAAUGUCUUUUCACUAGCCACUUUUGACUACACUCACCUACUCCCUCCCACUACUCCCACUACACCCACCUACACCCACUCUUUCCACCCACUUUACACUCACUCUUUCCACCCACAAAGCCAUAUCCUAUGCUCACUCUUGUCCGCAAAGCCAUAUCCUAUGCUCAAAUCAAUUUAUUCCUACCUUAUUUCACAAAAUCUUUCACAAUCUCUUUCUCGCAAGGAAGAAAUUCAAUGCACAUCUCUAUCUCCAGAAGUUCAACAACAUCAGAUUCACUAACCAUUCGUUCCUACAUAGAACACUAUAAGGCUUCGUGACCAGGGGGAUUAGCGCUGCUUUCCCAAGACAGGUUUAUAUGUGAUUAUGAUCUUCAGGCUUUGCCUAACCAGGUUGGCUGGCUGGUGCUGACGGGACGGAGCUGAGGCUAGAGUUAAAAUUCAUAUGUUAGACUUCCGCUGUAGCAAUUACUCAUAUCAGUCUUUUGUUUUCCCAACUUAAGAUCUUCAUGUUAAAUUUCAAAUGAUAUACCUGACCGAGCUUAGACUCUUCACUACUAAAUUUAUGCCAAUGAAUGUCGGUUGUCAGAAGCAUGAAACAAAACUUGUGAUCCAAAGGGGCAUAGCCCGACUUUCUAUCCUA